rnacentral:rRNA from 1 species
AUUGAACGCUGGCGGCAUGCCUAACACAUGCAAGUCGAGCGGCAGCGCAAGAAGUUUACUUCUUGGCGGCGAGCGGCGGACGGCUGAGUAACACGUGGGCAACCUGCCCUGUAGAUUGGGAUAACUCCGGGAAACCGGGGCUAAUACCGAAUAAUCCUUCGGACCUCAUGGUCCGAUGUUGAAAGACGGUUUCGGCUGUCACUACAGGAUGGGCCCGCGGCGCAUUAGCUAGUUGGUGAGGUAACGGCUCACCAAGGCCACGAUGCGUAGCCGAACUGAGAGGGUGAUCGGCCACACUGGGACUGAGACACGGCCCAGACUCCUACGGGAGGCAGCAGUAGGGAAUCUUCCACAAUGGACGAAAGUCUGAUGGAGCAACGCCGCGUGAGUGAAGAAGGUUCUCGGAUCGUAAAACUCUGUUGUGAGGGAAGAACAAGUACCGGAGUAACUGCCGGUGCCUUGACGGUACCUCAUUAGAAAGCCACGGCUAACUACGUGCCAGCCGCCGCCGUAA